rnacentral:rRNA from 1 species
AAUGAACGCUGGCGGCGUGCUUAACACAUGCAAGUCGAACGAGAAAUUUCCUGCUUGCAGGAGAGAGUAAAGUGGCGCACGGGUGAGUAACACGUGGAUAAUCUACCUUAGGUUCUGGAACAACAUUGCGAAAGCGAUGCUAAUACCGGAUGAGGUCUGUUUUACCUUGGUUUAACAGAUGAAAGGGUGCCUCUAUUUAUAAGCAUCUGACUUAAGAUGAGUCCGCGUACCAUUAGCUAGUUGGUGGGGUAAUGGCCUACCAAGGCAUCGAUGGUUAGCUGGUCUGAGAGGAUGAUCAGCCACACUGGAACUGACACACGGUCCAGACUCCUACUGGAUGCAGCAGUGAUGAAUUUUGCGUGAUGGGCGAAAGCCUGACGCAGCAACGCCGCGUGAGUGAAGAAGGCUCUUGGGUCGUAAAGCUCUGUCGGUGGGGAAGAACGGAUUAUACGUUAAUAGCGUGUAGUUUUACGGUACCUGUAGAGGAAGCACCGGCUAACUCCGUGCCAGCAGCCGCGGUAAUACGGGGGGUGCAAGCGUUAUUCGGAAUUAUUGGGCGUAAAGGGCGCGUAGGCGGUCUUGUCGGUCAGAUGUGAAAGCCCGGGGCUCAACCCCGGAAGUGCAUUGGAAACUGGGCAACUUGAGUAUGGGAGAGGAAAGUGGAAUUCCGAGUGUAGGGGUGAAAUCCGUAGAUAUUCGGAGGAACACCAGUGGCGAAGGCGGCUUUCUGGACCAAUACUGACGCUGAGACGCGAAAGCGUGGGGAGCAAACAGGAUUAGAUACCCUGGUAGUCCACGCCGUAAACGAUGGGAGCUAAGUGUCGCGGGUAUUGACCCCUGCGGUGCCGCAGCUAACGCAAUAAGUUCUCCGCCUGGGGAGUACGGCCGCAAGGCUAAAACUCAAAGGAAUUGACGGGGACCCGCACAAGCGGUGGAGCAUGUGGUUUAAUUCGACGCAACGCGAAGAACCUUACCUGGGCUUGACAUCCCGAUCGUAUCUUUUGGAAACAUUAGAGUCAGCUUGGCUGGAUCGGUGAACCGGUGCUGCAUGGCUGUCGUCAGCUCGUGUCGUGAGAUGUUGGGUUAAGUCCCGCAACGAGCGCAACCCUUGUUUUUAGUUGCCAAUAUUUAUUUAGGCACUCUAAAAAUACUGCCUCGGUUAACGGGGAGGAAGGUGGGGAUGACGUCAAGUCCUCAUGGCCUUUAUAUCCAGGGCUACACACGUCCUACAAUGGUAAGUACAGCGGGCAGCAAGCCAGCGAUGAGGAGCUAAUCCCAUAAAGCACGUCUCAGUUCGGAUUGCAGUCUGCAACUCGACUGCAUGAAGUCGGAAUCGCUAGUAAUCGCGCAACAGCAUGGCGCGGUGAAUACGUUCCCGGGCCUUGUACACACCGCCCGUCACACCAUGAGAGUUGGUUGUACCAGAAGUUGCUGGGCUAACCCGCAAGGGAUGCAGGUACCUAAGGUACGGUCGGUAAUUGGGGUG